rnacentral:sRNA from 1 species
GGCCUGGUCAAUCCCCUAUACCAAUUAAAUCUAAAAUGCAAUCAAUCAAUCUUCCUGUGGAUCAUUCCAAGAUUGAUGCUAACUUUGAAGGAUACAAAGUUUCCAUGAAUAAUGUGCACUUUUCGAGCAAAAGCCUGGAUCAAAAUUGUAAUAAAAAUCAUUUAAAUUUUCCAUUUUUCGCAAAAAAUAAUUUUCAGUAUGUCUUCGUGCUCCAUCCAAUGAAAUGAUUACUCUGCAACAUAUGAAAGUGUUCUCAAAUGAUAAUCAGCUGUUUUGUGAUUAUUCGAAAUGCACGGAUUCCCAACAAUUUUUGUAUCGUAUUUUAGACACCGGGCAUAUUCAGGCAAUGGUUUAUGAGAAAAAGGUACAUAAUUUUACUGUGAAUGAGGGUUUCGCUUCAAAAAUACUUAACGAAUAAACUUAAUUGUUUCUUUUCAAAAAAUUAAAUAAAUAAUUUCAGACCCAAAUAUGGAAUACCUCGAUCGUUGGCUCCAUUGAUGUUGGGACAAAUGCCUCUUCCGCUUUUCCUACUAAUCUCUUGUUCACUGAAAACAAUCUGGUCGUCGCUUGCAAUGGAAUUUCUGAAAUUACAGUUUUCCUGGCUGUCUCUGACUCAAAUUGGGUUAAAAUGCUGGAGCAUAAGGUUUCAGAGCAAGGUCUUUCACUGAUUGAAGCUCGAAUUUUAAAUGGAAAACUUAAUAUUUUGGCAUAUCACGUGGAAAGUGAUGAUUCCAAAAAGACCAGAAGCAGAAUUCACUCGAUUCGUAUUAAUUUGGAUGGUUUGUAUAAUUAAAUUUUGAAAAGUAAAAAAUUUCCUUCUUUUUUUCCAGAUAUAGACUAUGCUGAUAGCCUUACAGUUGAGAAAUCAAUGGAUUUAAUUCAAAAUGGACACUUUGAGGUUAAUUUUUUGAAAAUAUCAGCGAGGUGCAAAAUUUUGCAAUGUAUCCGGUCUCGACACGCUUUUGCUGUGAAGUAAAAACUGGCGCGCGCCUUUAAAGAGUACUGUAGAUUCAAACUUAUUUUUAAUAGUUUAUUUUUAUAAUUUGUGUGUUUUAAUUGUUUUAUUCUAGUUGUUUAAUAAAUAUAUAUUUUUUAACGAAAAACUAUUUAGAAAAUUGAUGAAAAUUCGAAUUUUUAUCGAUUUUGUAAAUAAUUUUCGUUAAAAAUGUAUAUUUUCUUUAAAAAACUAAAAUACAACAAGUUACAACACAUAAAUUUCAGCAAUUCGUGAGAGAAACUAUUAUAAAAUAAAGUUAUAGAAUACAGUAAUCUUUAAAGGUGCACCUUCUAAUAUUUUGUUUUAUCGUGUUGAGACCCGGUACAGUACUUUUGGUGCAACCUUUCGUGUGUAAUAUCCUAACCUUAAAUUUAUUUUUCCAGACUUGUACAUUCACAAAUAACGGCGAAAUAAUAUUUCUAUCGAGCGAAAAACCCCACGUGGAAGGGCAACAGGAAGAUAUGGAAGAAAAAG